rnacentral:tRNA from 63 species
GGGCGAUUAGCUCAGUGGGAGAGCGCUACCUUGACACGGUAGAGGUCACUGGUUCAAUCCCAGUAUCGCCCACCA